UCGUUCAGCAGAAGGUCUAUCGAAAACAACCUCUUUACCUUCAAGGUAGGGGUAAGGUUUGUGUACACUUUACCCUCCCCAAACCCUACUUAAGGGAUUACACUUGGUUUGUUGUUGAUAUCUCGUGUAAUAGCAAAGCAUUCUCAAACUUCAUAUAACUACAUAUGUAUGACAUAAACCCAAAAAACAAACCAAAUACAAUCAAUCUAUAAUUCUUGAUCAUAGAUGUAGUCAAAUUACCCUAAGUAAGUGAUCAAAAUCCAGUGUGCAUCUCACACCCACACUUAUGUCGUGUUGACACGUGUGUGGUAGGAAUUUCGAAGAGUCUCAGUACCAUAGAUAAACCAUGAUAGUAGGGUACCAUACCCCUAAACUCUACAAUCCAAAAGAAGGCACAAGACUUCUCAUAUCUUGAUUUAGUUAUAACUAACUUUCUUGAGAUAUUUUCGGUUACACUAAUUGCUCUUCUCGUUUUGCAUAUGAUAGAGGCUUAAUUCAUUUUGAUUAUUUUUUAUAUAAUUGUGGUGUCUGACAACUUUGCGCACCUCGCUUAAUUCCACAAGAAUACUUGUUACCUCCUACCAACACAAGUGCCAGGUAACUCAAUCCAACAUGGCUUAGACAAAUGGAAAAACAUCAGCUGGAAUUUGAACCUCAGACCCACUUCAUUGAUCACAACGCCACACCCUUGGGUGCUCAUUUUAUUUAAGCUUUGAGUAACUAAACUCAUUUUCCAACAAAAAAUGACCAACUAGCUUGCUAGAUAAUAUAAUUGAAAAACGAAUGAUAACACAUUACAACACUCUUAAAAUAUUAUUCUCUCCGGGCCAAUUUAUGUGGUGGAAUUCGACUCAACACAAAGUUUAAGAAAAGAACUUUUGGACUUAUGGCCUUGAACCUACUAUGAGAUUCUUAUGACUAAAAAAGUAUGACAUUAAGAGUAAAAUGAAAAUUUUUAAAUGAAAUAUUUCCAAAUAAAAGGUAUCAUUCUUUUGGAAUGGACUAAUAAGAACAACGACAUAUAAUAUGUAAUAGAGGGAGUAUUAAAGAGUAUUACAAAUAAUUUCUUAAUAACUAGAUAAGUAGUUUGAAAGAUACAUAUGAAAAAUGAAUCAGAAAAUAUUAUUAUCUUUUUGUGCUUCAUUGUUAAAUACUUUUAUUUCUUCAGAUUUUUCAAAGGAUUGUUGUCCAAAGAUAAAAGGUGGUCAAACUAGGGAAAAGAUAAGUUGUUUACCGGAAAGUUCUAAAUCAUAUGUCUGCAUGUUGUGUUCCACAUAGGAUCAGCAUGAAUACCUAAAUAACCUGCCCAUACACAUCAGGAUGAGAUGGAGAAAAAUAAAAGCAAGAUAAGAAUAACUGCCUUGUAAGAGAAGGCAAUACAUACAAUCCAGACAAGCACAUGAAUUAUAGAUCUUACAUGUCAAAUUGAUAUCUUUGAAUGGCUAUUUUUUCUUGCCUAAUUAAUUAAGCAACACUUCAAGGAUGACCCCACACAUGUUCCUAAGGGGACAGGCAAGUGGUGGCUAUGAAUCAUCACUACUGUACAAUAAUGUCAUAAACUCGAAUUUUUCAUCUUGUCAACUUUAACAUACAAGACUGGUAAAACUAACUUGAGAUAAAUUCGAAAGCAUAUGAUGGCUAACCUAAUAGUAACAAUAUGAUUCUCAACAAUGUCCCUCUUGAGAUUAAAAAUUAUUGUUUUUAGUUUAAACAAAUGCUUAAUCAUAAAGAAUUACCUACAAAAUAACCAGUUAAUUUUCAUGGGAAAGAAGUUGAGUCGAUUAAGCCAAAUUAAAAUACCUUACUAAUUCUGAAGAGAUAACUUCAGUAUGUGAAACUUUUUCUUACUUUGGCUCAACUUACAAAAGAAGGCAGCAUCAUAAAGCAAAUCUGUCAACUAAUCUAAAGUUUUAAAAAAAAAAUACACAUGUGCACACAAAUCUUAAUGACAAAAUGAGUCAGCAUGAGAUUAGUUUACUGUAAUUGACCAGACAGCUAAAAGAAGACAUUUUCAAUACCUUACGAGAAAAGAGAAAAAGAUAUAAAAGGAAUUUAGAAAAUAAAGGGAGUGGUUGAACAUGCACUGCACUUUGAUUGUUUUUAGAAUAUUUCAAAUUUCAAUCAACAAAAAGAUUAUUGAAGACACUCCCAUCUCCCUGACAACCUUUUUCUUCUUGAUACAAAAGAAAAUUCUGAAAAAGCAUAUGCAUGACCUUUUUUGGUUAUUUCAGAUGACCCAUAGCUGACUCAUGCAACAAUCAGUUAAAAGAUUCACCAACUCCUCUGCAAGCACCUAUAUAUAAUGCUACAUGGAAUGCUUUUAAACCAUCAACCAAACUUAAAUAUUUCUCACAUACCUUCAAAAAUACGGUAAUACUCCACCUCAAAUCAGAACCACAAUGAAGAACUUACUCCAUGGAAAUUUGGUGGGUAUUCCCAUGAGUUCAGCAGUAUGUUCACUUGAAAGGCAGCCGAAAAGACUACUUGCCCUAUCUGCUUGCGAAGACCAUAUCGUUCCAUAUGGAGCUUCAAAGAACUUGUCUCAAAUAAAGCAAAGUGAGUAUCCCUGGUCUCUUAAGGAAGAAUCAACUUGAUCUGACCCUUGAAUGUAGAGAUCAUAAAAAUAACAAUAUUCUUGAAUAUGCAGGAAAAUAUGGCAUUGUUAAGAUGAACAAAUUGGGAGAAAGGAUGGAUUGUCUUGUACAAAGCAUCCGUGAGCAUGGUAAGCACUUAAAUUCUCUAUAAAAAACUUAAAUAUAUUUAUUGAAAAUAUUACUAAGAUAACAUUUUGUUCAAGUCGAAAAAUAAGUAUUUGAACUUGAAGUUGAAAGGGGUAUUUGGGAAUUGAAAUUGUGUCCGGACAUGAGUUCCGUUUGAAAAAAAAAAAGUUUUAAGCGAAAACAAUUAUCUCACUCAAAAAUGCUACUCAGACAAGUUAAUUCCAUACUAUACCAGUCUUACAAAUGCUAAAACAUUCGCCAACUGCGAAUACUGAUGGACAAACUUCACCUUAAGUAUUUGCAAGUGAUGUCAUGACCAAACACUAGUGUAAAUCUAAAGAACUCAGAGAAGUGAGUCAUGAAGUACAAAAUUCAUGCAAGAAGCACAUGCAUACAUGAUAGAAAACAUUGAUUUUAAAUGUACUCUAAUUGUGCAGUGAGCCUAAGCGCGAAACUAACAGAAACUUUAAAGGGAAAAUUGAGCCUUGGAGCAAAAAUUCUUCAAGUAGGAGGGUUGAAGAAAAUAUUCAGGCAGAAGUUCAGUGUUAGAGAUGAUGAAAAGCUAUUGAAAGUUUGUCAAUGCUAUUUAUCAACUACAGCUGGUCCAAUAGCAGGCCUUCUCUUCAUCUCUACCGAUAAGAUUGCUUUCUGCAGUGAGAGAUCAAUAAAGCUCUCAUCUCCAACUGAAAAGUUGCUUAGAAUCUACUAUAAGGUACCACUCUGCUCCGUUUGUCUUUCAACUCUUAAUUUUCUAACCACGUAAAGCAUAAUCUAACUGGUUCACAAUGGCAGGUAUCAAUCCCAGUAAGUAAGAUAAUGAAAGCAAAAGAGAGCAAGAAUAUGCAAAAGCCAUCACACAAGUAUAUACAAGUAAUUACAGAGGAUGAUUUUGAGUUCUGGUUUAUGGGAUUUCUCAAUCAUCAAAAGACACUAAGGUAUCUGCAGCAGGCAAUCUCCAGCUCAAGCAAGUUAUGAAGACAACAUUUUUUCCUUUGUUCAUUUUUUUUCCAAUGAGCUCAUUCUUCAAUAUAAAACAUUCAUGCAAAAACGAAGUCAGGGAUCUGUUAAAACUUUGUAACUAGAUCCAUUGCUCAAAGGAAGCUUUAGGUUUAAGCUUUGUGCCCUUAUGAGUUAAUGGGAAUGUACAGACUUUUUUUUUGAAACUGGUAGCUUUUGUAUAGACUUAUUUUCUUUUUUGAGAAAGCAAGAGAUACAAAUGUAUAAAUUUAUUAUAAAACUUGUGCAGAUAGAUUGGUUUUUUUUGUAGAUUCAUUUAUCUUUCUACUUGUCCUUAGAGUAGACUUUAUGACCCAAGUGGUAGAUAUGAAAACAAGAACAAUAUGCUAGUUAUAGAAUUAGCAUUUUAGAUUGUUUAUAUGCAAAUUUAAUACUGCAUUCACAAGCUUUGCUGCCUUCAAGUUCUUUUAGUAUCCUUGAGAUAAGAAAAGGUGUAGCCAUUCUCACAAUGGAAUGCUACCCAUUCAUGAAAAGUGAACUGGUAUCAGCGUCCAUAAAAUGAUGAACCAGCCAAUUUGAAAUACUAAAAUUGGCAGUGUGUUUAACUUCUCUGCAUUUUACACUAUCAAGUUACAUAAAUGAUAACCACAGGUAACUGUAUUAAAAAGGUGGAUUUAGUAACCUGAAAAUCUGGGCAAGUUACCUGCUACAAGACGUUAAUAUACACUGUCAAUGUAAAGGCAACUUACCUACUAUAACAUGCUAAAAUACACUAUCAAUGUGAAAAAAAUGUUAUAUCAUCACUAAUAUACACUUGGUUUGUUGUUGAUAUCUCAGGUAAUAGCAAAGCAUUCUCAAACUUCAUAUUACUACAUAUUUAUGACAUAAACCCAAAAAACAAACCAAAUACAAUCAAUCUAUACUUCUUGAUCAUAGAUGUAGUCAAAGCACCCUAAGUAAGUGAUCAAAAUCCGGUGUGGAUCUCACACCCACACUUAUGUCGUGUUGACACGUGUGUGGUAGGAAUUUCGAAGAGUCUCAGUACCAU
rnacentral:lncRNA from 1 species